UACAGAGGGGGCAAGCGUUGUUCGGAAUUACUGGGCGUAAAGAGCUCGUAGGCGGCUCAUUGCGUCAACCGUGAAAUCCUGCUGCUCAACGGCAGGUCUGCGGUUGAUACGGGUGGGCUGGAGUUCGGUAGGGGAGACUGGAAUUCCUGGUGUAGCGGUGAAAUGCGCAGAUAUCAGGAGGAACACCGGGUGGCGAAGGCGGCAUCCUGGACCGAUACUGACGCUGAUGAGCGAAAGCCCAGGGGGAGCAAAACGGGG
rnacentral:rRNA from 1 species